rnacentral:rRNA from 1 species
AUAUUAUUAAGCGGAGGAAAAGAAACUAACCAGGAUUCCUUUAGUAACGGCGAGUGAAGCGGCAAAAGCCCAAACUGGAAAGCUCUGCCUGCGGGUAGCGCGUUGUAAACUAGAGGACUUAUUCUCACCGGCGAAAGUCGCAGAAGUGACCUAGAAUGGUACGCCAAAGAGGGUGACAGCCCCGUAUGUGGUGACAUUCGCUAACGAGAAGGGUUCAAGGAGUCGGGUUGUUUGGAAAUGCAGCCCUAAUUCGGGAGAUAGACUUCUUCCAAGGCUAAAUAUUUAUGGGAGACCGAUAGCGCACAAGUA